UACGUAUGGUGCAAGCGUUAUCCAGAUUUACUGGGUGUAAAGGGAGCGUAGGCGGCGCGUUAAGUCUGAUGUGAAAACCCGAGGCUCAACCACGGGAGUGCAUUGGAAACUGGCGGGCUGGAGUGCCGGAGAGGUAAGCGGAAUUCCUAGUGUAGCGGUGAAAUGCGUAGAUAUUAGGAGGAACACCAGUGGCGAAGGCGGCUUACUGGACGGCAACUGACGCUGAGGCUCGAAAGCGUGGGGAGCAAACAGG
rnacentral:rRNA from 1 species